rnacentral:rRNA from 1 species
GACGUCAAGUCCUCAUGGCCCUUAUAGUGGGGCUACACACGUCAUACAAUGGAUGGUACAAAGGGUCGCCAACCCGCGAGGGGGAGCCAAUCCCAUAAAGCCAUUCGUAGUCCGGAUCGCAGUCUGCAACUCGACUGCGUGAAGUCGGAAUCGCUAGUAAUCGUGGAUCAGAAUGUCACGGUGAAUACGUUCCCGGGUCUU